GACGAACGCUGGCGGCGUGCUUAACACAUGCAAGUCGAACGAUGAAGCUGGAGCUUGCUCCGGUGGAUUAGUGGCGAACGGGUGAGUAACACGUGAGCAAUCUGCCCUUGACUCUGGGAUAACUGCGGGAAACUGUAGCUAAUACCGGAUACUUUCACUGGAAGGCAUCUUCUGGUGAAGAAAGAAUUUCGGUCAAGGAUGAGCUCGCGGCCUAUCAGCUUAUUGGUGAGGUAACGGCUCACCAAGGCGACGACGGGUAGCCGGCCUGAGAGGGUGACCGGCCACACUGGGACUGAGACACGGCCCAGACUCCUACGGGAGGCAGCAGUGGGGAAUAUUGCAUAAUGGGCGCAAGCCUGAUGCAGCAACGCCGCGUGAGGGAUGAAGGCCUUCGGGUUGUAAACCUCUUUUAGCAGGGAAGAAGCGAAAGUGACGGUACCUGCAGAAAAAGCACCGGCUAACUACGUGCCAGCCGCCGCAGUAA
rnacentral:rRNA from 1 species